GACCUCGGAUCAGGUAGGGAUACCCGCUGAACUUAAGCAUAUA
rnacentral:rRNA from 1 species